rnacentral:rRNA from 1 species
GAUGAACGCUGACAGAAUGCUUAACACAUGCAAGUCAACUUGAAUUUGGGUUUUUAACUUAGGUUUGGGUGGCGGACGGGUGAGUAACGCGUAAAGAACUUGCCUCACAGGUAGGGACAACAUUUGGAAACGAAUGCUAAUACCUAAUAUUAUGAUAAUAGGGCAUCCUAUAAUUAUGAAAGCUAUAAGCGCUGUGAGAGAGCUUUGCGCCCCAUUAGCUAGUUGGAGAGGUAACGGCUCACCAAGGCGAUGAUGGGUAGCCGGCCUGAGAGGGUGAUCGGCCACAAGGGGACUGAGACACGGCCCUUACUCCUACGGGAGGCAGCAGUGGGGAAUAUUGGACAAUGGACCAAGAGUCUGAUCCAGCAAUUCUGUGUGCACGAUGAAGUUUUUCGGAAUGUAAAGUGCUUUCAGUUGGGAAGAAAGAAAUGACGGUACCAACAGAAGAAGUGGCGGCUAAAUACGUGCCAGCAGCCGCGGUAAUACGUAUGUCACGAGCGUUAUCCGGAUUUAUUGGGCGUAAAGCGCGUCUAGGUGGUUAUGUAAGUCUGAUGUGAAAAUGCAGGGCUCAACUCUGUAUUGCGUUGGAAACUGUAUAACUAGAGUACUGGAGAGGUAAGCGGAACUACAAGUGUAGAGGUGAAAUUCGUAGAUAUUUGUAGGAAUGCCGAUGGGGAAGCCAGCUUACUGGACAGAUACUGACGCUGAAGCGCGAAAGCGUGGGUAGCAAACAGG